rnacentral:rRNA from 1 species
CCUACGGGACGCAGCAGUGGGGAAUAUUGGACAAUGGGCGAAGGCCUGAUCCAGCAAUGCCGCGUGUGUGAAGAAGGUCUUCGGAUUGUAAAGCACUUUAGACGGGGACGAUGAUGACGGUCCCCGUAGAAGAAGCCCCGGCUAACUUCGUGCCAGCAGCCGCGGUAAUACGAAGGGGGCUAGCGUUGCUCGGAAUGACUGGGCGUAAAGGGCGCGUAGGCGGUUUAUGCAGUCAGAUGUGAAAUCCCCGGGCUUAACCUGGGAACUCCAUUUGAGACGCAUAGACUAGACGUCGAGAGAGGGUUGUGGAAUUCCCAGUGUAGAGGUGAAAUUCGUAGAUAUUGGGAAGAACACCGGUGGCGAAGGCGGCAACCUGGCUCGAUACUGAUGCUGAGGCGCGAAAGCGUGGGGAGCAAACAGGAUUAGAUACCCCAGUAGUC